rnacentral:rRNA from 1 species
UACGUAGGCAGCAAGCGUUGUUCGGAGUUACUGGGCGUAAAGGGUGCGUAGGCGGCUUUUUAAGUUUGGUGUGAAAUCUCCCGGCUCAACUGGGAGGGUGCGCCGAAUACUGAGAAGCUAGAGUGUGGGAGAGGAAAGUGGAAUUCCUGGUGUAGCGGUGAAAUGCAUAGAUAUCAGGAGGAACACCGGUGGUGUAAACGGCUUUCUGGACCAUAACUGACGCUGAGGCACGAAAGCGUGGGUAGCAAACAGG